AGAGUUUGAUCCUGGCUCAGGAUAAACGCUGGCGGCGUGCUUUAUGCAUGCAAGUCGAACGGUUUCGAUUUAUCGAGAUAGUGGCAAACGGGUGAGUAACGCGUAAGUAAUCUGCCCCUAAGUAAAGGAUAACUCUGAGAAAUUAGAGCUAAUACUGUAUGUGGUGGUGGAGGUAGUGCUUCAUCACUAAAGCCUUCGGGUGCUUGGGGAGGAGCUUGCGUCCGAUUAGCUAGUUGGUAGGGUAAUGGUCUACCAAGGCGAUGAUCGGUAGCUGGUUUGAGAGGACAUCCAGCCACACUGGGACUGAGAUACGGCCCAGACUCCUACGGGAGGCAGCAGUGGGGAAUAUUGCGCAAUGGGGGAAACCCUGACGCAGCGACGCCGCGUGGAUGAUGAAGGCCCUUGGGUUGUAAAAUCCUGUUCUGGGGGAAGAAAGCUUAAAGGUCCAAUAAACCCUUAAGUCUGACGUACCCCAAGAGAAAGCUCCGCUAA
rnacentral:rRNA from 1 species